CCUCUGCUGGUCGUAGACCACCCGGUGGGUGUGAGGGUCACGGUAGGCGAGGAAGAAGUGGACGGCGACGUCGGCGAGGAAGAUGAGCUGCACGCACUCGAGGUCCAGCAGGUGCUCGGGGAUGCCCCGGAAGAAGCAGAAGGCGAAGGGGGUGUAGAAGACGGAGUAGAUGGACCAGAGGAACAUCAUGUUCGACCACAUCCUGUACCAUCUGCAGCAGAGCAGAGCAGAGCACGUUCAACAUCAAGAAUCAUGGCUGCCUAGCUAGCUCCAUGCUUCCAUGCCUCUGCAUGCACUAUCUGGCUUCUAAGCACUAUCUUACGGACG